rnacentral:lncRNA from 1 species
AUGUAUGUUCUAAAGGAAGGUAUAAAAAUAUUUUUCCUGAACAUGCAUACAAAAAAAUAACUUUGCAGUUGGCAUUAGAAGAGUUUUGAUGUUGAAGUAAACAAGAUCAUAGCCAAAAGAUAAGUCAUUCAAGUGAUCAAUUAGAGUUACAACACGUAAUGUGAAAGUAAGCACCUGCAGAGUUUAGCUUUAUGGACUUACAAAGUGCAUCCAACAUAUAGAAUUUAGGGGCAAAAUCAACUGUAGCCCCCUGUGGUAUGGAUCAUCUGCACUUCACCUCUUGUGAUUUGAAAAUAACAAACUUAUCACCUACUAGUUUGAACCUAAUUGCAACUGUUACACUCUCCAUCCAAAAUGACGGAAUGUAUGCCUUGCUCUUGUAGCAUUUGUGGCAUGGAAAACCUGUUUCCCCUCCAAAAGUAGUGUAAAAAGACAUUAUGCCCUUAUUGGUCAUAUGCUUUCUCUGUUACUCAAAACCCAUAUCCCUAACUCCACCACCAUCAGUCAACUUCUCAGCCCCCCCGCCGCCACCAGCCACCUCCCCACCAUCCCUGGACACAUCCUGAGACCCUUUCCUCUUCUGUCUUUGCCAGUCCCCUCUCAACGCGGUGGUUGGUUGGAUUUCAUAGCUACGAGCGUGGCAAAAAGAAACUAUGGAGCCUUGGUUUGGAUAAUAGAGGACAAUUGCACACAACGAUUUAUACAAUUUUUCACCCUCCAAGAAGAAGAAAACAGUUCCACAAGAUGGAUAAUAGUCUCAGUACAAAAUGGGCAACAGCUAUCUAACUUGAUUUCUCAUGAUUGCAGCAAAUAGGAAAAGCAUCAGAUUAUCGCCGCUGGUAUAUGUUGGACACAUAUAUACAUCACAAUAUAUGAAGGACGUGCAUGAGAACAAGGCCUUGAAAAUGAGAAAGUCAUUGAUAUUUCCAAGACUUGGGUUAUAAUCUGAUGCUCAUUAUGUUCUCUAUCAUCAUGUUUUAAAAUUUCCAAUUUAUGGAUUUUCAAUGAAGUCUUCAACGCAGUCUGUUCACAGGUGUAUUUGUCAAAAGAAUGUGUACAUCGCACAUCCAAUUGGUCGUAUUAGUGGCCUUUGUUUGUAUUAGGUAUUGUAUACAAGGUGUGUAAGAUUACUUUGGAAUCCACGAAAACAUUUGAGUAAAUAGGUCCAUAAUGCACUAAAGGACUAUGUUGAAUAAAGGUAUUAUCGUCUUCUAGCGCAGCCGUUAACAGAGUUAAGGUUGCAAUAAUGUCCAAACAACAAAGAGGGAAGUGCUGCAUGCCAACUGACAGGCGGUAAAGUAAGUGCAUGCGUGUCAUGGUAAUUAAAAUUAUGCAAAAACAGGCUGGCCGACGGAGGAUUACCACUCACUUUGUUAUGUCAAUGUUGCACAAGAGACAUCCUAACUUAGUGGGCAUCAUCCCCAUAUCAUCCGAAUCCGAGUCACUAGCAUGUAACUUCAGGAAUUCAAACAAACAUGACAGAAACAUAAAAAUAACCAUUUAUACAGAUGAGAGGAGAGAGAGAAAAGAGAGAGAGAGAGAGAUAACAGGACGUUUAUAUGACUCUCCAUUACUGAGGAUCGACUCCUUGAAGCUUACUGAUCCAAGCACGGCCCGUAUUAUUCAGUAGAUUCAAUAUUCCACAAAAGUAGUCAAAUUUCCAAAGCCAAAGAUAGAAAAAAAAUGGAACAGAAAAAGUAGAUUAGUGCAAUUCGUUAGUUCCCAUUAAAAACACAUAAAUGAUCAUUAGCAUAAAAUAAAGACAGGGAUAUCAUUUCUGAUAGCUCAAGGUUUUAAUAGUGGAUAUUAGUAGAAACCUCAGGGGAGGUCGGUGUAAUUUACCCAAAAAAUAGUAAAAUCAAAUAAAUUGGUACCUUUGGGCGGUCUCUGGGGAACGCCAUAGGCCGCUGCAAUUACAUCUGGCCCACACGACCUGCAUGGCGGCGUCGCCGCCUGGCCUGGGUGAGAGUGUCCUCAACCACACCGCUUCACGCAGUCCGAAAACCACGUCGCCCCGCGGCACGCGGCCUCGUCCCCUCCAGCCGCAGCGAGCUCCUUUCCAGUUCACUCUCAGCCGCUCCGAUCGACCGGGCCCGGUGCUUGGGGAGCGGUACGAAUCGGUGUCUGGGCGCGUGUUUGGGGCGGUGGGGCUUGUGGGAAGCGAUUUAUCCGUCAAGUCUUGGCGUUUUGGCCGUGGAUGGAGCGAUUUUCCCAACAACUGAGAUAGAGGAGAGAGAGAGGGAGCGAGUUUUUGGAUUUUGUUAAUUCGCAGUGAAGUAGUGUUGGAAACCUUUGAUAGAUGGACAACGGACAGGGUUGGAUCUGAGUUAGUGAAGAUUUCGAUUUGGUAGCUGAUACAUAGAUGAUGGAUUCCAACAGCUCGUGGAUAUGCCGGCCGUGGGGGGUGUACAAAACCAAAGAAAAUUAAUUUUAAUUUGUUUUUAUCUUUACUUUUUUUUUUAAUUUAAAUAAAAAAUAUAUAUAUUUCAGAUUACUCAAACGAGAAUAGGGUAAAUUUGAUCAAUAGUUGAUAAUUUUUCAUAAAAACAAAAAAAAAAAAAAAAUUAAACUCAAAAUAAUUAAAAAAUCUCUAAAAAUAGCCAAAACAGGGUCAUGGAAAGAAAUUGGUAGGUUGUUAUGAUUUAUAGUAGUGAGAAUUACAUAAAAAAAUAGUGUUUAACCAUAAAAAUAAAUUAAAUCAUAAUUCAAUUAAGAACAAAUUAAAAUUUAUAAUUUUAAUCUAGUAAUAAUUCAAAUCAUCCGUUAUUGUCCGUCUACCUAAAACUAAUAGAAUCACUUAGUUCCUACCAAAAUCACGAAAUGACUUCGUAUAGUAUUACCCUUUUUAAAAUCCUAAUCGAACUAAUUAUUAAAAUAAAUUAAAGAGUUUGAAUUUUGUAUUUAUUUGUUAAAAAAAAACUACUUUUUUAUAGCUUUUUAAAAUAAAAAUUGUUCGCUUAGGACUUAAAGAAAAUAAAUUCUAUACAACGUAGUUUAAGUGCAUUUUUUUUGUGAAAAUAAUUAAAUUUCUUUAAUGUUUAAGUGAAUGAAAACUAAUGAAUAGUUAAGAUUGGCCCAUAGUCCUCGAAUGUUUUGAUUUUAUGGAUCCUGAUUCCGGGCUUGUUCGGUGUGGCUUGUAUCAAUGCUUAACGGGCCAUUGGUAUGGUUGGUACUACGAUUUAGAUUGUUGUCAGUAAUCCGUGGAAACUUCUAUUGGGCUUUUUAGGCUUUUUAUACGUGGGUUGAGCUACGAUAUGGGCCUGGGCUGCGUGGCCAAAUCAACACCCCCACCUAAUGAUCUUACGGCUAACUAAUCCUGUUUGAAACGAAUUUUUUAACAAGGACCACAAGAAUAAUUUCAGGCACACUGUAAAAUCUUGCGCCUAACAAGUAACAAGUGAAAUCAUUAUUUUUUAUAGAAAAUAUUAUGGUAGAAAGCCCCGACAACUUUGUCCAGUCUCACACUAUGGAAAUUCUGACAACACUUCCAAUGGUGGGAUAAUAGAGCGGGUUGUUUCUGUACAAGGAGAGUUGUAUUUUGCUGUGUAUUCUUUGCAGGAAGUCAGAGUCUACACUUACGUUUAGUGAAUUUAAAUUUAUUAAAAUUUAUCUCUAGAUGAGUUACAAUUAUAAAAUUUAUAUAAUUUAUAAUACAUUUAUUAAUUUUUUAUAUGGUCCCACUUGUAUUGUAUAGUAACCUCUCUUAGGAUACUAGUGUGUUUUUUUCUUCAGUGAGGUCGAUUGUCCUCACUUACUCUCUACUGUAUAGUAUCUCUCUAGUUAGACUAUGAUUUUGUUUUGUCAAUUGUUUGAAUAUAUAUACACACCCAAGUAUAUAAUUUCAAUAUUGUGUUUCGAGUUGUAUUAAAAAAUACUUAGUGAAUAUCUGAUAUUAUAAAUCACAACUCAUUUUGAAUUUCAAACUAUAUUCCACUCUUUCCAUUAAAAUCUAUUUGAGUUAAUCUAAUGGUUAGAUUUGAUCGAGAUUAUUUUUUUUCCUUCCCCAAAGUAUUAUUUUCUUCCUUCUCAAACGUUGUUAGACUCACUAAGUGCUUAUCCAAUGAACACAAAAUGUCUAAUCUUGGCAUAUUUUUUAUCCUUCGAUCAUUUUUUUUAGUGGGAUCCACACCCACAAAAUUAAUUUAUAACUUCAAUUCCCCACCCCUUGAUAUUUCAAUAUUGCAACUGACCUCCCCUGUUAUUUUGAAAAAUGACACUGAUCUCCCCUGUCAGAGGCAAACAUGACCAUUCAUGUCCUCUGACCCCAGCCCCCAGCCCACCCCACUCCCCACCCCCGCGAUUUUUUUUAAUUUUUUCUUUUAAUUCAUUUUUAUUUACUUUUUUAAUCUACUUUAUUUUUUUGAUCAAUUUUUUUUUGGAUAAAUAAUUUUUUAUGUAUAGGUUUGGAUUUUUUAGGUUUUUUUAUUAAUUAAUUUUUAAUAAAAAAUAAAUAAAAAUAAAAAUCAAAAAGAGAAUACAAAUUUAGUUCACAAAUACUCUGAAUUCAUUAUAUUUAAAAUGUACAAACUUUUUAGUUAUAUGUAUAAUUAUAAAUAUCUUACAAUCCAUUAAUUAAAGGCCAUUUGGACUACUUGUUUAAAAAAAAAUUACAUCUUUAGUUUCUGAGUUUUUAUAUUUUUUUAAUCGUUUCAAUCAACACUUUGAUAUGCCCGCCCAAGUAUAUGCUAACCGUGGUCAUUAGAUCUUGACUUUCAAAAUAAAUAUGUCAAUCAAUGUAUCAAAGUUUCGUACAUAAAUGUGCGAAAACACUUGCUAAAUUUUUAAAUGAAUCAUUUUAGCAAAUUUUAGGAAAAUAUCGAAAAAUUUAGCAUUUCACAUCUAUGUACUGAACUUUUGAUACCUGAUUGGCAAUAUUUAUUUUGAAAGUCAAGAUCUAAUACCUAAUAUUAGCCUCAUCACUUGGUAUUAUCAAAUUAUUGAUGAAACGAUAAACAAAUAAAAAAACUCCAGAAACCUAAAAUACUUUAAAUUUUUGUAAAAAGUAGGCCAAAUUGGCCUUUAAUAAUGAGUUUUAAGACAGUUUAUAAUUUAUACUACACUAAAAGUUUUGUAUAAUUUUUUUAAUAUAAGAUCAUAUUAUUUGUGACUAAAUUUGUGGUUCUCUUUUUAUUUUUAUUUUUGUUAUUUGUUAUAAAAUUAAUUAAUAAAAAAAACUAAAAAAAACACAAACAUAUAAUAAAAAAAUUAUUUAUCCAAAAAAAAUGACAAAAAAAUAAAAUUAGAUUAAAAAAAGUAAUAAAAAUGAUUAAACAAAACUAAAAAAAAAUUAAAAAAAAUUGCAGGGGGUGGGUCAGGGCAUAAUGGUCAUUUUUGCUCUGACAGGGUAUGUCAUUGCAAAUAAUGAAAAACCUCAUGGGGUGUGGAUAGUUCCCCAAAAAUUAAACAAAACCUUUUUUUUUUUCUCACUCAUUUCUCUCAUUAGCAAAACUGCUUUUUUUUUUUUUUUUUUUCAUAUCAUUGUAGUGUUUGAAUUUUAUUUUUUCAUUUUGUAGCAAUAUAUCUCUUCGUAUAUGCAUGGCAAUAUAUAUUUUAUCUGACGUUAUAUUUAUUCUGUUUUUUAGAUUAUUAAAACUUAACAAGUACCUUAAGAAAGUGGUUUUUUUUUUACAUAGUGUCUGCAAGCAACGAACAAUUGCUAGUAAUACAAAUAUAUAAUGUUAAGGCUCUAGGAUUCUAAGGCUCUUUCCGGUUUUGGAAACUUUUGUAGCUUUUAGUAAAAAACUUUUUUUUCACCAUUUAAUCAAAAUUUUUUAUGAUUUUUUUCAGUUCAUCUUGAUAAGAAAAGUUGAAAAAUAUAAAAAAAAUCAUCUAAAAAAACUGUUCCAUAAAAAAAAAUUUAAGAAAUCUCUAAAAAAUUUAUUUAUUUAGAAAAAAAAAUCACUUAAAAGACAUAAAAAAAAAAUUAUUCCCAAAAAAUUAAAAAAAAUAAAAAUUAUUAUAAAUUUAAAAAUUAAUUAGAAAAAAAAUGCACUUAAAAGACAUAAAAAACGAUUUUUAUUCUCAAAAAAAUCUAAAGUGGAUGUUUUUUUUUCAAAAUUAGAUAAAAAAAAAAAAGAUAUACAUUUUUUAAACUCCUCAAACUCCUCUAGUAAGAGGUAACGAAAAAGUUAAAUUUUUAUCAAACAGUGAAAUUUUUGGUAAUUCAGUGUGCUGAAUUCCUAUUGAACGAAAUGAACUUGAUUCGUGCAAAGAAGUCAUAGCUUUUGUUCCUCAAUUAUAAUAUCAACUGGUUUAUAAAUAUUUGAUGAUAACCCCGAAAUGGAUAUUGAAACAGGGCCAGCAUCGUGGCAAGGACAAUGAUCCAACAAUAAAUGUUAAUUACUACAGGACCAGAAUGGCUCACUGAUAAGGAAUAGGCUUUGUACAGACACUCGAGUGUCCGUUUGCAAGCAAUCAUCACUGCCAAUUGCACAACAUGCAAACACUGUUCAAUACGAGACGCUCCCUCUCCUCUCUCUCUCUCUCUCGCACUAAACUUUUUCAAAUUCUGCUUUUUAAUAUUACCUUUGUAUUAAGUUUUUUUCCAGCUGACACUUUUUGUUUUUAAGGUGAAAUACACUUGAGUACUCUUGAAGUUUUGGUUAAUAAGGCACAAUACUCCUUGAUAUUGGAAUGACAGUGACCCUCCUUGAGGUUGAAACUUAAAACAUUCUUCUCCCAUUUUACACUAACUAUUCACGAGGUUCCGACUUAAUACACAAAGCACAUUUGAUGUCAUCGUCCGUUACCAAGAUUGACUACCCAUCCAUGACAUCAGCUGAAUAGUGAUUGGAAUACCAUAUAUACUAUUUUUUGACAACAUGUUACUAAUAUCCACAAGGAUGUUAAUUGAAUGACAAAAAAAUAAAAUAAAUUGACCCAUACCUAUUAAUUGUAUAAUUAUACCUUUUUCAUUACUAAUCUAUUUGAAAUAGUGAUAAAAAUUGAUCACGUAUUUUCCAUGUGCUUAAUUAAACGCCCUUGUGUCUAAAAUACUAUUAUUUUUUUGUUAUUCAAUUAACAUUUUUGUAGAGUAUAUAAUAAUUUUAUCAAAAACAAGAGUAUAUAUGGUAUUCUACUAAUCACCAUUCAGCUGACGUCAAGGGUACUUUGUAUAUUAACCCAGAACCUCAGGGGUAGUUAGUGUAAAAUUGAGAGAAAUUGUUACAAGUUUCAACCUUAGGGAGAUUACUGUCAUUUUUCGAACAUCAUGAGUACUUGUGUAUUAAUUUGAAACAUCAGGGGUGGUCAUGUAAUUCACUUUUUUUCUUUAAAAUGCUAAUCGUUCAAAAAUCAUAUAUAUAAUAAUUUAAAUAAAAUAAUUAAUAUCUAAAAAUUCAUUAUAAAUUUAAGAAAAAUGCUACAAUACAAAAUGUUUAUGAUUAUAUUCAUAAAUGAAUCAUAAAAAUCCAUAAAAUUUACUAAACAUAGAAUAUAAUCAUAACAAACCAUUUAUAACAAAACAUCUCAUACCAAUCAAUAGCCACAAAAAUUUUUAUAACAAAACCAAUACAAUUUAUAAUUAAACCAAUAAAAUUCAUAAAGUAACUGGAUUCCACCUUUAAUUGUGGGCACCACGAGAAUUAAUGUUUUAAAGUGACUAAUUCAUUAUUUGAAAUCACACAAUUCUAACAAUAGUCAUAAAUGUUCAUAAUUAAACCAAAAAUUCAUAAUUAAAUCAAUAAAAAUUUAUAAAAAUAAAUUUUACUGGUGGGCUACACUAUAAUUAAAAUUGAAGUAGGACCAUAAGAAUUCAAAAUAAAUCUAAAGAUUCAGAAGUUUACCAACAUCCAAUACUAAUCAGAACAAAUAUAUUAUAACAAAUAGCCCAAAAAAAAUCAUAAUCAACAAAAUACGAUUCUAACCAAACCAAACCAAUACGGAGAAGUAGUGGUUAGCCCGUACAUGCCGCCGCGUCCUGUUGGGUAUGGGGGCUGUCAAGAAGAAGUUUUAUCGUGCAAGUCACCUUCUGUCCCUCUAACACCCUUGGAUUAUCGGCGAAGUGUCCUUCAGUCAGCGCUUAGUGAAGUUGCUUAUUCCAAGCUUACUAAUAGCAAACGCCCGAAUGGAACGAUAACCUACACACGGGAAGUGCAGAUGUUGGGAGUAUGCAUGAGUUUCGGCCGCAAAGGUCCGACGAGAUUAAUUCAUAGACGGUGGAAUGGAGAGAGAAAGCCACUGCUCUACCAAAACAGAUGUGUCAUUAUUGGAUAUUUUUCCCCCAACAUAUCCCAAAUAAAAAUGUAUCUCCAAAACGUUCUCCUAAACUAAAACUUUAAUCCCACUUUCUUUUUUGUGUGCAAGGAAUGGAGCCAAAGAUAAGUCCUCCACUUAUGCUUUUGUGACUUAUCGACAAAUGGAUAGGUUUGGCACAAUCUCUCUCUCUCUUCUCUCAAUUAAACCAUCAAUAACAUUAAUUGGAAUGUAGGAGAGCACGUGGCACCCUAACGCUGUCACUUUGUUUUAAAUGGCGGGAUCCAACUUGAAGCCAAAAUAAAUGCCAAAAAUACGCUACAAAGAGGUCCCCCUCUCAUAAAAACAAAAAGACAAAAUGUUUAAGUUGGGAAAGGGCAAUGCAGGGUAUUGGUAAAAUUAAUAAUGUUUUAUUGUAAUUUUAUAUAACUAAAACAAAUUAACCGUGUAUUUAGUAAAAAAAAUAGAGUACAAAAAGAGAUCUUUUAUUAUUUGAUCAAAAUUUUAAUACUUUAGCUAGUUCUUUCUUAACGAGAAGAGUCCAAAAAAUGGGAGGAAAAUCAUCGUAAUUUUAAGAAAAAAAAAUACUAAUACAAAAAAGUUAUUUUUACGUCGCCAACAUACACUAACUUUUUUUUGUCUGUAGGUCAACAAAUUUGAAAAUAGAGUUUUUUAAUUUUCGAUUUUUUUCUCUUCAAAAGUAAACUGAAAUUAUUAUAAAUUUUUUUUCAAAAAAUUAAAAAAAUCACUUAACUCCAAACUCAAACACUAUUUCAGACGUGGGGUAGGUUUCCUUAAGCCUUAGUCUAGGACUUCCCUACCUAUCAUUAAGUUGGGGUCAUCCUCUGAGAGGUAACUUUACGCAUCAAACUUGCACCGUAAAAUCACUCAUAAUCCACAAGGUCUUCGCAGCUUAAAGGGAAUCAUUGAAAUUAGGUUCAUUGAUUCAAGAAGGCAAUCUGGGCCCCAAUCUUUUAACAAUUCACAACUGGGACCCCCUUAGGAUGUAAAAUUUUCUCGAUAGAUGAUGACAUCAAAUAAAAUGGUCAUUAUUGCACUCAAUAUUUUAUUUUUCUAUGUGUUUUUUUUUUAGGCUGAUUGGCCAAAUAUGACAAAAAGCCAAUAAGUAGGUUUUUAUUGAAUACGCGAUCGUCCAAAAUUAUUCAUCACACUCCUUUAGAAGGAUAAAACUAAUUCCCACAUUUCGAAAAGAAUUACUGUAUUUGAAUCAAUAAUUUAUAAAAAAAAUUGAAAAGUUGUAAGUCAACUGUUCCGCACCGUAGAUUCAUUAAUUUGUCUCUUUUUUUUUUUCCAACAAAUUAGUGGAACAAUCACAUGCUAAGGAUAGAAGUUAACGAUGUUUAGAAUAAGAUGAAAAUCACUCCACCACAUCAAAUCAAGGGACCAUUUUCCACUUAAAGUUGCAAAAGUCGCUUUUUCAUUGAUCUAAGCACUUGCAAUUCCACUUCCAUGGAAUAGUUUAUGGAGCAGGAAUCCCCAAGUUGAAUUGUUUUAAUUUGCUUAUGCUCUCAAAUUGGCUAAUGUCCUCUAGCCCAUCUUCCCCUCCCUCUCUUAUCUGCUGCUUAUCAAAUAAAAAGUUAGCUGUUUCCACUGAAAUUUGAAUAAGGCUAAAUAUUCUAGGGAGAUUUAUCAAGAAUCACUUUUUGCUACACUUGAUGUUGGCGGUGAAUUUCAAAUGUAGCAUUUAGUUUUCAAUAAAAAUAUCGACCGAUUUGAAUAUUGAAGUGAAAAUUUUAAUGGAUAUAAAGGCUCAAAUUUUAUAUUUUUCAUAAAUCUCUUCUAUCUA